AAGGUCUCCGUUGGUGAACCAGCGGAGGGAUCAUUACCGAGUUUACAACUCCCAAACCCCUGUGAACAUACCAAUUGUUGCCUCGGCGGAUCAGCCCGCUCCCGGUAAAACGGGACGGCCCGCCAGAGGACCCCUAAACUCUGUUUCUAUAUGUAACUUCUGAGUAAAACCAUAAAUAAAUCAAAACUUUCAACAACGGAUCUCUUGGUUCUGGCAUCGAUGAAGAACGCAGCAAAAUGCGAUAAGUAAUGUGAAUUGCAGAAUUCAGUGAAUCAUCGAAUCUUUGAACGCACAUUGCGCCCGCCAGUAUUCUGGCGGGCAUGCCUGUUCGAGCGUCAUUUCAACCCUCAAGCCCCCGGGUUUGGUGUUGGGGAUCGGCGAGCCCUUGCGGCAAGCCGGCCCCGAAAUCUAGUGGCGGUCUCGCUGCAGCUUCCAUUGCGUAGUAGUAAAACCCUCGCAACUGGUACGCGGCGCGGCCAAGCCGUUAAACCCCCAACUUCUGAAUGUUGACCUCGGAUCAGGUAGGAAUACCCGCUGAACUUAAGCAUAUCAAUAAGCGG
rnacentral:rRNA from 1 species